rnacentral:lncRNA from 1 species
CUAAAACUAUAAACGAUGAAUCUGAAAGCUGCACACUAUGGAACUACAAACUGCAUGAAUUAAAUAGUAAUGCGAAAAUAAUCUGUAGAAAUAAUGAAAACUGAUGCGAAAAUAAUCUGCAGAAAUAUAUGGAAGCUGAAACUGCAAGGAUAAACUGAAUCUGCAAAAAAACUACGUGAAUUGCAACGAAAUAAAUCUGUAGAAAGAAAACAUAAACUGCAGUAGAUUUCAAACCGAGGCCUUUGCGUGCACAGUUUCCUUAACACAAUUUCGCCCCCCCCCCCACUAUAGGUGCUGGAGGUUCAGUUCGAGCGGCUGUCUCCUAGAAUACAAUGGUAAUAAGCAGAAUCCGAGCACCGCAGUCCUACCCCGACGAACUGCAUGUGACUGUAAGGGAACAGAAACUACACUGUAUAGAAAUUGGAACUGGGAAAAAUGACCCUACGUGGAAAACUGGGAAGAAUAUUUUCGUAUGCGGAGAGAAAUUUUCGUUCGUGUAUUGAACUGUUGGAGUGAGCGUCCCUUAUAUAGACUGAGUCCUGUCCAUUGGAGUCACUGGAGUUACGACAUUAACCACUGGAGUUUCAGCUUUUCAGUUCUAGCAAUAAACAUUGGAAGUUUCUGCAGUUUAGAAACUCAAAAGUCAUUAGAGAAAAGCAAAACGUGGACUCUCCGAUGAGGCCAUUUAUACCUUGUUCGGUCCGACAUUCGUGUGCGCAGAUCGUGUCUGUACCCCAAUUCAAGGUCCGAAGACCAUUUCGGUUUGUAAUUUGCACCCCCUACGGGAGCACGUGAAGAGAGCCUCUAUGCUAUACAUAAUUACACAUCUCCAAAGUAUAGCCAUAUAUAAAGUAGUUUAAGUUUCCUUGAUUUUCCUAUGUGAGAUAAAUGCAUUUUUUCCCACAAAAUCAACUUCCAACGACCAACUUUGAGCUCCAAUUGCUCAUUCACCCGAGUUUCAUUUUUGGCAAAUAAAUACAUGAAAUCGAUGUUCUCGCGGAGGAGAACACAUAUCAACUUUGAUAUUCCACAUUGGACUAACGGUUCCCAUCGAAAAUUAUGCCAAAAGUGAGCCGCUCAGCUGCUCACUCAAUUUUUUUUCCAACAGGAAUACCAUACCCUUGGAUUAUCU